UGGGGAAUAUUGGACAAUGGGCGAAAGCCUGAUCCAGCAAUACCGCGUGUGUGAAGAAGGCCUUAGGGUCGUAAAGCACUUUCAAUUGGAAGGAAAACCUCCUAGUUAAUACCUGGGAGCUUGACAUUACCUUUAGAAGAAGCACCGGCUAACUCCGUGCCAGCAGCCGCGGUAAUACGGAGGGUGCGAGCGUUAAUCGGAAUUACUGGGCGUAAAGCGUGCGUAGGCGGCUUGUUAAGUCAGAUGUGAAAGCCCUGGGCUCAACCUGGGAACUGCAUUUGAAACUGGCAAGCUAGAGUUUGGGAGAGGAGAGUGGAAUUUCAGGUGUAGCGGUGAAAUGCGUAGAGAUCUGAAGGAACACCAGUGGCGAAGGCGACUCUCUGGCCCAAAACUGACGCUCAGGUACGAAAGCGUGGGUAGCAAACAGG
rnacentral:rRNA from 1 species